rnacentral:rRNA from 1 species
UACGAAGGGGGCUAGCGUUGCUCGGAAUUACUGGGCGUAAAGGGCGCGUAGGCGGAUGUCUUUGUCGGGCGUGAAAUUCCAGGGCUUAACCUUGGGGCUGCGUUCGAGACGGGUUGUCUUGAGUGGGGAAGAGGGUCGUGGAAUUCCCAGUGUAGAGGUGAAAUUCGUAGAUAUUGGGAAGAACACCAGUGGCGAAGGCGACUUACUGGACACAUAUUGACGCUGAGGUGCGAAAGCGUGGGGAGCAAACAGG